UUAAUUCUUCUAGUUAAGCGGCUGCGCGUUAAAAAACGUGGCUGUUUUUCUUGUGAACUGGGGCUGUCGCUUGGGUUAACGCUCAAGUGGCAGUCUGGCUUUAAUGCUCUUGUGUUAAUUUUUUUGUUUUUGCUUUCUUAAGUUUAACCGCUUAAGAAAAUAAUCACAAGA
rnacentral:misc_RNA from 1 species